rnacentral:rRNA from 1 species
UAGCCUACGGGGGGCAGCAGUGGGGGAUAUUGCACAAUGGGGGAAACCCUGAUGCAGCGACGCCGCGUGAGUGAAGAAGUAUUUCGGUACGUAAAGCUCUAUCAGCAGGGAAGAAUAAUGACGGUACCUGACUAAGAAGCCCCGGCUAACUACGUGCCAGCAGCCGCGGUAAUACGUAUGGAGCAAGCGUUAUCCGGAUUUACUGGGUGUAAAGGGAGCGUAGGCGGUACGGCAAGUCUGAUGUGAAAGGCCAGGG